UCUUUGUUUACCUGAAGGGAUAAGGCCUACAUUAUCAGACUGAACUGGCCAAUAAUUGUAUCAGUCGGUGUUUUAUAUUGCAUUUUGUCUUCAGGUUUCAAAUCAACAAAAAACAUACCACGUGUUUUCGAAUGAUGUAUAUUCUUCGCGGAUCUUUAUUUAGUAAUCUGAACAAAAAUAUAGAAAUUCAAGAUUCAGGUAUAUCUUUGAUCCAAUAUCGAUCAGCAAAGGUUGAAUACUGACUUAUGCAUUUGAACUUUUUGAAAGAGGAGAAUCAACUAUUAGCCCAAAAUGGACCACGUAAUGUCCAUUUCCAUUUUGAAUUCUUCUGAAUUGUGAUUUGCUUUUAAAUGAAAUUAUUGAAGUGUGCGGAGCAUUGUCAAUAGAUGUUAUAUGUACAGUGGAUAAAUAUAAUGUCAAUAUGUAUGUAUUAUAUAUAUGAACAAAUGUAUUACACUGCAUGUAAUAUAGAAUUGUGAAGUGUAAAAUGUGUGUGUAAUUUAAAGAGGAUAAUUGAAAAUAAAUAUCACAGUAUAGAUUAACCCUUUUUCAGUAACCCUUGUAAUUGGGCGAUAUUAUGAUGUCUUAACAAAAUGAAAAUAUAUGAAAUAUCGCAGUUUCAGAACAAGUAUUAUCCAGUAACUUGGGUGAUCUUAUACCGCCUAAACGUAGUGACAGCUGAUGCGAUAUUCAAGACAGCAUACGGUCAACAUAACAUAUGAAUAUAAUGUACAAUUAACCAUGAUGCCUUUGUAACAAGCGAUAGAAUGUCAAUGCCAAGGAUGCAACACACCUGCUACACAACAAAGUGGACACUUUUUUUCUUUACUAUAGGUCAAAAACAUAUUACAAAAAGCGUUAAAAUGGAAACGAUGUUCAGAAUCAACAUUCAGUGCAUACCUGAAAAAGUAUCACAUAAUCAAGUUUAAACGUGACGUAUAUAUUAAUGUUUGCAUACUGUAUGUGUCUAGACAGUUCAACAUGGUUUCGACGAACUACGCGUAAGAUUUGGUCAUAGAGCGUGUAAAGGUGUGGAACAAAAACACACGUAGUGAGUUACUGAUUACAUAAUCAAUAGCUUUCGGUAGAGAUUCUGUUCACAUGGAAUUGGAUUGAAAACCUUUCAGGAAAAGCUUAAUGAAUGUGCGUACAUAAAAUCACAAAUGUUUUGGUGCGUAACGUCAAAAUAUCUUCAUUUCACUAUUUGUCUCAAUCAUUUCUUUCAUUUUAUGUAUACAUUUUAGAAAAGAAAACAUCUAAAUAUAUAGGAUAAGGCGUUCUUCGUUGUGAUAACUUGUACCCAAACCUUUCCUUGAGAAUUAAACAUAUUGAAACUGAACAGAACAUUUGAAACAUUAUGUUGCGGGCAGUGGGCCAGCAGUCAGUUUAUCAUGUUUUCAUUUGUUCAUAACAAAAUUGCUUAUCGAUUUCAAGAUUGGUGACGUGAUUUAAAGAAUCAUAAAUUAACUGUACCUUGUUUUGUCUGAAAAGAAUUUACCUCUGAGAGAAAUCUUACAGUUCGAACAAUUUUGAAAUCAUAUCACAAGUUGAUUGUUUCACUUGAGUGGCUAUUGCAGUUAUAUUACAGGUGUUUCAUAGUGUGUCAAUUUGAUGUAGGAUUAGUAUCAAAGUGACACGGAUCUCACACAUUUACUACCUACUAGCACGGUGGUGUUGCAAACAGACGAAACAUCACCCCAAACAUAUAAGUAGGGCAAUGAGCUGUGGUGAAUAAUGUUCCAGUUUUAUCAUGGCAACCAAACAUCACAACAAAUAUAUAAGUAGGUCAAUGACCUGUGAUGGAUAGUGUUCCAGCUCUAUCAUGGCGACCAAGGAUCACAAUAAAUAUAUAAGUAGGUCAAUGACUUGUGGUGCGUAGUGUUCCAGCUCUAUCAUGGCGACCAAGGAUCA